UUAAAAAGGGCUCAGUGGCAGAAUGCUUGCCUAAUAUGCAUGUGGCCCUGGGUUCAACCCCAGUAUUGAAA
rnacentral:tRNA from 1 species